CUUUGAAUAUGGAGGUGUAACUUAAAUAUAAGUGAUCCUACAGAGAUUGCCAUUGUGGUAACAAGGAGUGGCUACCUUGAAAAAUGAGAAUGAAGUCUACAGGAGAAUGAGACACAGAAAUUAGAGAAGAAGAAGACGGGUGUUCCUUCUCAAGGGGAACUCUCCUCCAAGCGGUACUUCAGAGAUGUGGUUCCCUCCACUCUUGAGACUUAAAUCACUUUCAAGUCUUCUGCAGUGCUCUGGCUCCAAUGGAGAUUAAAAUCCAGUCUCUCUGUCUCCACCACGGAAUGUCUGCCUUUCUCAUUAACUGGACUUCCAUAUGUGGUACGGGAUGACCUAAGCUGUGGAGGGCAGCGAGCUGACCAGAACAAAGGUCAGAUUGUAAUCUCCAAGCAUCAAAUCUAUUUUUUGUCCACACUCUCAACAUCCACUUCCUACCACCAAAUAAAAGGUAGAAGAAAGAACAACAUAAAACUGUAACAACAAAAAGGUUGUGAUGUGAAAUAAAGCCCUGGAAAUGUCCAUCUGCUGUUAUCAACGCGUUUGGGACUAAAAUCUUUACCACUAAUUCCUGUUUGGCUGUGGUGGUGUGCAGGACAGCC